CUACGGGGGGCAGCAGUGGGGAAUAUUGGGCAAUGGGCGCAAGCCUGACCCAGCAACGCCGCGUGAGGGAAGAAGGUUUUCGGAUUGUAAACCUCUGUCCUUGGGGACGAAGAAGUGACGGUACCCAAGGAGGAAGCUCCGGCUAACUACGUGCCAGCAGCCGCGGUAAUACGUAGGGAGCAAGCGUUGUCCGGAAUUACUGGGCGUAAAGGGUGCGUAGGCGGCAUAUUAAGUCAGGUGUGAAAUACUCGGGCUCAACCCGGGGGCUGCAUUUGAAACUGAUAUGCUUGAGUGUGAGAGAGGAAAGUGGAAGUCCUAGUGUAGCGGUGGAAUGCAUAGAUAUUAGGAGGAACACCAGUGGCGAAGGCGACUUUAUGGCUCAUAACUGACGCUGAGGCACGAAAGCGUGGGGAGCAAACAGGAUUAGAUACCCUUGUACUC
rnacentral:rRNA from 1 species